GACGAACGCUGGCGGCGUGCUUAACACAUGCAAGUCGAGCGGUAAGGCCCUUUCGGGGGUACACGAGCGGCGAACGGGUGAGUAACACGUGGGUGACCUGCCCUCAGCUCUGGGAUAAGCCUGGGAAACCGGGUCUAAUACCGGAUAUGACUCCAUGACGCAUGUUGUGGGGUGGAAAGCCUUGUGCGGCUGAGGAUGGGCCCGCGGCCUAUCAGCUUGUUGGUGGGGUGAUGGCCACCAAGGCGACGACGGGUAGCCGGCCUGAGAGGGCGACCGGCCACACUGGGACUGAGACACGGCCCAGACUCCUACGGGAGGCAGCAGUGGGGAAUCUUGCGCAAUGGGCGAAAGCCUGACGCAGCGACG
rnacentral:rRNA from 1 species